rnacentral:rRNA from 1 species
UGCGUAGGCGGGCUAAUAAGUCAGUGGUGAAAUCCUGCAGCUUAACUGUAGAACUGUCAUUGAUACUGGUUUUCUUGAAUUUAGUUGAGGUAGGCGGAAUGUGUAAUGUAGCGGUGAAAUGCUUAGAUAUUACACAGAACACCGAUUGCGAAGGCAGCUUACUAAACUAUGAUUGACGCUGAGGUACGAAAGCGUGGGGAGCGAACAGGAUUAGAUACCCUGGUAGUCC